AGCAGCAUGGCGCAGUGGUAGCGCGCGGGGCCCAUAACCCCGAGGUCCUGCUAUUAGAUCAUGCCU